UAGAGUUUGAUCCUGGCUCAGAACGUACGCUGGCGGCACGCCUAACACAUGCAAGUCGAACGAAGUAGCAAUACUUAGUGGCAGACGGGUGAGUAACAUGUAGGUAUCUGCCCUAUGGCCUGGAAUAACACGAGGAAACUUGUGCUAAUACCGGAUAAGUCUUUACAGAGAAAGCUUUAUGCACCAUUGGAUGAGCCUGCACUUGAUUAGUUUGUUGGUGGGGUAAUGGCCUACCAAGACUGUGAUCAAUAGCUGAUUUGAGAGGAUGAUCAGCCACAUUGGGACUGAGACACGGCCCAAACUCCUACGGGAGGCAGCAGUGGGGAAUCUUGCACAAUGGAGGAAACUCUGAUGCAGCGAUGCCGCGUGAGUGAAGAAGGCCCUUGGGUUGUAAAGCUCUUUCGUCGGGGAAGAAAAUGACUGUACCCGAAUAAGAAGGUCCGGCUAACUUCGUGCCAGCAGCCGCGGUAAUACGAAGGGACCUAGCGUAGUUCGGAAUUACUGGGCUUAAAGAGUUCGUAGGUGGUUGAAAAAGUUGGUGGUGAAAUCCCAGAGCUUAACUCUGGAACUGCCAUCAAAACUUUUCAGCUAGAGUAUGAUAGAGGAAAGCAGAAUUUCUAGUGUAGAGGUGAAAUUCGUAGAUAUUAGAAAGAAUACCGAUUGCGAAGGCAGCUUUCUGGAUCAUUACUGACACUGAGGAACGAAAGCAUGGGUAGUGAAGAGGAUUAGAUACCCUCGUAGUCCAUGCCGUAAACGAUGUGUGUUAGACGUUGGAAAUUUAUUUUCUGUGUCGCAGCGAAAGCGAUAAACACACCGCCUGGGGAGUACGACCGCAAGGUUAAAACUCAAAUGAAUUGACGGGGACCCGCACAAGUAGUGGAGCAUGUGGUUUAAUUCGAAGAUACGCGCAGAACCUUACCAACACUUGACAUGUUCGUCGCGACUCUAAGAGAUUAGAGUUUUCGGUUCGGCCGGACGAAACACAGGUGCUGCAUGGCUGUCGUCAGCUCGUGUCGUGAGAUGUUGGGUUAAGUCCCGCAACGAGCGCAACCCUCACUUUUAGUUGCCAUCAUUAAGUUGGGCACUCUGAAAGAACUGCCAGUGAUAAGCUGGAGGAAGGUGGGGAUGACGUCAAGUCCUCAUGGCCCUUACGUGUUGGGCUACACACGUGCUACAAUGGUAUCUACAACAGGAAGCAAAACUGCGAAGUUAAGCAAAUCCCUAAAAGAUACCUCAGUUCGGAUUGCACUCUGCAACUCGAGUGCAUGAAGCUGGAAUUACUAGUAAUCGUGGAUCAGCGUGCCACGGUGAAUGCGUUCCCGGGUCUUGUACACACCGCCCGUCACACCAUGGGAGUUGGUUCUACCUUAAGGCAAGGUUUUAAACCCUUGACCACGGUAUAGUCAGCGACUGGGGUGAAGUCGUAACAAGGUAACCA
rnacentral:rRNA from 1 species